rnacentral:misc_RNA from 1 species
GAUGAAGAACGUAGCGAAAUGCGAUAAGUAAUGUGAAUUGCAGAAUUCAGUGAAUCAUCGAAUCUUUGAACGCACAUUGCGCCCCCUGGUAUUCCGGGGGGCAUGCCUGUCCGAGCGUCAUUACAACCCUCAAGCUCAGCUUGGUGUUGGGGCCCGCCGCCCCGGCGGGCCCUAAAGUCAGUGGCGGUGCCGUCCGGCUCCGAGCGUAGUAAUUCUUCUCGCUCUGGAGGUCCGGUCGUGUGCUCGCCAGCAACCCCCAAUUUUUUUCAGGUUGACCUCGGAUCAGGUAGGGAUACCCGCUGAACUUAAGCAUAUCAAUAAGCGGAGGA